CGAGUUUGAUCAUGGCUCAGAUUGAACGCUGGCGGCAUGCCUUACACAUGCAAGUCGAACGGCAGCGGACCUUCGGGUGCCGGCGAGUGGCGAACGGGUGAGUAAUAUAUCGGAACGUACCUUUCAGUGGGGGAUAACUACGCGAAAGCGUAGCUAAUACCGCAUACGCCCUGAGGGGGAAAUGGGGGAUCUUAGGACCUCACGUGAUUGGAGUGGCCGAUGUCAGAUUAGCUAGUUGGUGAGGUAAAGGCUCACCAAGGCGACGAUCUGUAGCGGGUCUGAGAGGAUGAUCCGCCACACUGGGACUGAGACACGGCCCAGACUCCUACGGGAGGCAGCAGUGGGGAAUUUUGGACAAUGGGCGCAAGCCUGAUCCAGCCAUGCCGCGUGAGUGAAGAAGGCCUUCGGGUUGUAAAGCUCUUUCGCAAGGGAAGAAAACGGCAAGGUUAAUACCUUUGUCGGCUGACGGUACCUUGACAAGAAGCACCGGCUAACUACGUG
rnacentral:rRNA from 1 species